GGGUGUAUGUGGAUGAAGUGCACAGAGUACUCAGUGUGCCCGUGGGUCAGCUGGAGGGAUCCACAGAGUGGUUACAAAUGACUGACACACCCUAACAGAGGAGGAUUCACAGGAUGCAAUGAAGUCCCACUGAUCAGCAGCACCAAAGAGCAAGAAAGAGCUCACAGUGGUCCUGGACUCAGUGCCCGCCUAUUCUGAUGAAAGCCAUGAAGCAUGAGCAUCUCUUCGUCUGUGGGAGUGGAACCACAUACUGCCUUGAGGAAAGAGAGCACAAGUCACUUACCUAAGGCUUCACCUGGGCAACCGAAGCAUGCUUGGGAUUUUGAUUCACUAAAGAAAGUGGAUGAAUGAGGAAAGAAGUUCAGGAAAGAAUGCCUUAUAACACAGCAUUUUUCUGAUCUUCAUAGUCAGUGUCGCUGGACUCCUCUUCUAAAGAUUGCUUCUUCAACAUCCUGAUUUGCUUAUGCACACACUGCGAGACCAAAAACUCCAUCACAAAAAAGAGGAAAAGACAAAGCCAAUCACUUACCAAACUCCCAGAACAGGCCUCGUGAAGGGAUUCUCACAGCACUCAGCGGCACAGGCUUUGGAGAUAUUCCCGUGGCCCUGGAAGUCUUCGGCCCGAUCAAGCCAGAGAUUGCCCUGUGGAGAAGUUUGUUGGGGUCUUUGCUCAUCUUCAGUAUGGUGGGUACCAUACCCCAGAACCUCGUGCUCUCAGCCAUCUUGAAAUCUAGGAAAAUGAAAGCAAAGUAGCAUUAGGAAGAAAAAAGACUGUAUUUUAGUCCAUUUCUACAGUCCCUGCUGUUCGCUUAAUAGGUGUUCUCUGUGAGGGUCCCAGUUGUAUUAGUUCAAAGGAGAACUCCAACAGAAGUUUGAGAAAGUGUCCAAAAGAAAUAUGUCUGUUUAAUAAAAUUUCUCAUUCUUUCA